AUAGCAGAACUGCAGGAUUUACAACAGUGGCAGAUACAGCCCUGACAGCUUAAACACUGUUUGCAUGUUUUCUGGUUGCUACCCCACACACUGCUAGCUGUCUCUGGUUCUGGUUUGGUGCAGAGGCUCCAAACCAUUUAAGACUUCCCGAGCUCUGGAACAGCUGGAUCAGAAACAAGCAGAUUUAUUGUCCAACAGAGUUAUCAUCCAACAUUUAAAGAACAAUACUGUGGGCAAAUUUCAACCCCCUUGACCGCAAGCUUGGGUGGAAAGGAUGGUGGCUGAUGGUGUUCCAAGAUGAUUUGUGCUGGCACCAGCAAAGCCUGAGCAGCUCUGAUAUGUCAUCGAAAUACAACUCAGACUCUGGCUUUGCCACCAAAAUGACAUGGUAACAAUAUGUGGUGGUGUGGGCACUGGAAAGAAAUGGUUUUCUGACAUUUCUUCUGUCUUCUCCAUGACUAUUUAGUACUGUUUAGAAAACAUUUAAGCAGGGGCUCCAGUCUUUUGUCCCUCUCAAAAAUCCUUGUGAGCAUGACCCAGGGGCUCCAAGGAGCUUGCCUGGCAGUGGAUGACUUAGCUAGAAAUGAGAGACAUGACAGAGAUGAGAAACAUGAUCGUUUGCA